rnacentral:rRNA from 1 species
AUUGAACGCUGGCGGCAGGCCUAACACAUGCAAGUCGAGCGGAUGAAGGGAGCUUGCUCCUGGAUUCAGCGGCGGACUGGUGGGUGAUGCCUAGGAAUCUGCCUGGUAGUGGUGGAUAACGUCCGGAAACGGGCGCUCAUACCGCAUAAGUCCUGACGGCGAACGGGUGGGAUCUUCGGACCUUCCGCUAUCAGACGAGCCUAGGUCGGAUUAGCUAGUUGGUGGGGUAAAGGCCUACCGAGGCGCCGAUUCGUAACUGGUCUGCGAGGAUGAACAGUCACACUUGGAACGGAGACAGGUCCCAGCUUCCUAGGGGAGGCGGAGUGGGGAAAUAUUGACAAUGGGCGGAAGCCUGUUCCAAGCCAGCCGGGGGUGGUGAGAAGGUCUUCCGAUUGUAAAGCACUUUAAGUUGGGAGGAAGGGCCGUAAGUUAAUACCUUGCUGUUUUGACGUGAACCAAAAAAUUAGCACCGGCCAACUUCGUG